ensembl:lncRNA
AAACGAUCAGUUUAGGAGUGUGCAAUUUGGUAACCUUCAUAGGCUUCAUGUUCUGACGAAAAAUUCAGACAUUUGAGUUAAUUGCCACUAGGUGGCACCAUUAUGAAAUGUAAAACUCAUUUCAGAGUGGACGUUGCAUGCUGGGUGCGGUGGCGCGCGCCUGUAAUCCACGUCACUGGGAGGCUGAGGCUGGUGGAGCUCUUGAGCUCGGGGGUUCUACACUACCGUGGGCUUUGUUGAUCGGGUGUCCGCACUAAGAUCGGUGUCGAUAUGGUGUUCCUAAGGGAGCUCGGGAAUACCAGGUCGUCUAAGGAGGGGUGAACCGGCCCAGGUCGGGAACGAAGCAGGUAAAAGCCCCCGUACCGAUUAGUAGUGGGAUAGCACCUGUGAAUAGACGCGGUAGUGCAGCCUGGGUGAUACGGUGUGACCCAGUCUUUUAUAUUAUACACCUAUUGUGUUUAAUAUCCACUGCUUCUACGUCCUCAGAAGCAGCUGGAGAAGGACAGAUCAAGUUCGAAUCACAGUAAAAUGGUUAAAGUUAGACUACUAUUUAUAAUUCUUUCUCACAGUAAGCAAUGAAGUUAUUUUAAAAAACAUUAAUGCAUUAAUCUCUAAUAUUAUAUGGACACAGUGUACACUGUAAAACAUCUCUACAAAUCAGUAAUGCUCCCAGUCUACCUUAUUCCCCUGAUUCUUAAGUUGUUUCAUAAACACACCAUUUUAUG